UUGCAAUGGAUUAGCAGCAUCUGUCUUGGACCAUUAUUGUAUUUGGAGUAUAGAAGCCUUGUCUUUUCAGUUGAAAACAUCUCUGCAUUAUGAAGAGGCACAGAAGACUUGAUGAGGUGCUGAACUCUGAAAUGAUAUUAGAAUACACCAAGAGCACACCAGAACCACACCCAACUCCAAGACUCCUCAUGGGUAUGCAGGGGUGGCAGAAAUAAAAUGCCUCAUUAAAAAUAUGGUUGCUAACCCUAUAGUUGGAACAACAUGAUGAACUAACCAGUACCCCGGAGCUCUUGUCUCUACC